rnacentral:lncRNA from 1 species
UCUGUGGACACAGCACAGUGGUCCUCUGGGCUCUACGCUUUGGGUUCUCUGCUACACAGCAGGCUCUGGGCUUCCCACUGCACACCCGACCCAUAUGUGCCGGGAGCGGGUAGCGGAAAAGAUGUCAGGAGCCCGCCGGGGUCUGGGAGAGGCUCAGGGGCCUCUGUGAAGCGUGACUUUGGCAGGGAUCCGUAGGUCAGGCAGGGGCUGGCUUGGCUUCCGGGAAGCACCACACGGAGGCCGCGGAACGGCUUGUGCGAGGCCCGAGGCAGGAACACCCAGAGGCCGGGAUGCAGCCAGGGCCAGAGGGCCGAGAAGAGAGGGGGAUGGGCUUCCUCGCACCCGCCACUGAGCGAAGACCUCCAGGGCUAAUUUGCUUUUCCGCUGCCUGGCGUGUGGCACAGCUGGCACUGGGAACCCCUGCUGAGAGCAGCCGUCGCU